rnacentral:rRNA from 1 species
GAUGAACGCUGGCGGCGUGCCUAAUACAUGCCAGUCGAGCGAACGGACGAGAAGCUUGCUUUUCUGAUGUUAGCGGCGGACGGGUGGGUAACACGUGGAUAACCUACCUAUAAGACUGGGAUAACUUCGGGAAACCGGAGCUAAUACCGGAUAAUAUUUUGAACCGCAUGGUUCAAAAGUGAAAGACGGUCUUGCUGUCACUUAUAGAUGGAUCCGCGCUGCAUUAGCUAGUUGGUAAGGUAACGGCUUACCAAGGCAACGAUGCAUAGCCGACCUGAGAGGGUGAUCGGCCACACUGGAACUGAGACACGGUCCAGACUCCUACGGGAGGCAGCAGUAGGGAAUCUUCCGCAAUGGGCGAAAGCCUGACGGAGCAACGCCGCGUGAGUGAUGAAGGUCUUCGGAUCGUAAAACUCUGUUAUUAGGGAAGAACAUAUGUGUAAGUAACUGUGCACAUCUUGACGGUACCUAAUCAGAAAGCCACGGCUAACUACGUG